GGUUAAGCGACUAAGCGUACACGGUGGAUGCCCUGGCAGUCAGAGGCGAUGAAGGGCGUGCUAAUCUGCGAUAAGCGCCGGUAAGGUGAUAUGAACCGUUAUAACCGGCGAUACCCGAAUGGGGAAACCCAGUGUGACUCGUCACACUAUCAUUAACUGAAUCCAUAGGUUAAUGAGGCGAACCGGGGGAACUGAAACAUCUAAGUACCCCGAGGAAAAGAAAUCAACCGAGAUUCCCCCAGUAGCGGCGAGCGAACGGGGAGGAGCCCAGAGCCUGAAUCAGCAUGUGUGUUAGUGGAAGCGUCUGGAAAGGCGCGCGAUACAGGGUGACAGCCCCGUACACAAAAGCGCAUGUGCUGUGAGCUCGAUGAGUAGGGCGGGACACGUG
rnacentral:rRNA from 1 species